UUUGUUACACAGGCUAUUGCUUUCGGGCGACCGGAAGAGGAAAGUCGGGGCAACAAAUGGCAGAAUGCAACCUAACGGGUUGCCGUGGCGACACGAGGGAAAGUGCAACAGAAAAUAUACCGCCGUAUUUUACGGUAAGGUUGAAAUGGCGGGGUAAGGGCCCACCGCACGGUCAGCAAUGCCCGUGGCAAUGUAAACCCCAUUCGUUGCAAGGUAAGAAACGCACAUUUAAUGGCGGCCAGCCACGUGCGUUCGUACACUGCGAGAGCAUUUUGGCGACAAAAUGCCAAGAUAGAUAAUGGCCGAAGACAGAACCCCGCUUACAGUGUGACUUAAAAA
rnacentral:RNase_P_RNA from 1 species